CAACAUCAAGUUCUCAAUAAAGCUGAAGCUGAGACAUAGAUGGGACACAAUGGCCAGAUCUGCAGCACAGAGCCAAGGAGAUGAGGAAAACUUUUGGACCUGAAACUAUGUACCAAGUCCAUGCAACAAUCUCAGGAUGGGUUAUUGAUCACCGGGGAGACCAGGUAAGGGUGGGAAUGAAUCACUGCCAUCUCUUUCCAUU